AGAGUUUGAUCCUGGCUCAGGACGAACGCUGGCGGCGUGCUUAACACAUGCAAGUCAAGGGGGCCCAGCAAUGGGCAACCGGCGAACGGGUGCGUAACACGUGAGCAACCUACCGAACUGUGGGGGAUAGCCGGCCUAACGGCCGAGUAAUACCGCAUACGCUUUCGAUGAGGCAUUUCAUUGAAAGGAAACCUACGGGACAGAUCGAGGGGCUCGCGGCCUAUCAGCUAGUUGGCGAGGUAACGGCUCACCAAGGCGACGACGGGUAGCUGGUCUGAGAGGAUGGCCAGCCACAUUGGGACUGAGAUACGGCCCAGACUCCUACGGGAGGCAGCAGUGGGGAAUCUUGCGCAAUGGCCUAACGGCUGACGCAGCGACGCCGCGUGUGGGAUGAAGCUCCUCGGAGUGUAAACCACUGUUGCCCGGGACGAAUAGCUCGAUUAAUCGAGCCUGACGGUACCGGGUGAGGAAGCACCGGCUAACUCCGUGCCAGCAGCCGCGGUAAUACGGGGGGUGCGAGCGUUGUCCGGAAUCACUGGGCGUAAAGGGCGCGUAGGUGGUUUGAUAAGGGUGUGGUGAAAGUCCGGGGGCUCAACCCCGGAUCUGCCGUGCCGACUGUCAAACUCGAGGGCUGUAGAGGCAGACGGAAUUCCGGGUGUAGCGGUGGAAUGCGUANAGAUCCCGANGAAGACCGGUGGCGAAG
rnacentral:rRNA from 1 species